UGGGUUAAUUGUUUCAGUUUGAAGCUCCGUUAAGUGAUUGCCCGAGAAAUGUUACCUGGUUGUAAAUGCGACAGAUUAAACUUUGGGAAACAUUGUUUUCAUUUGAUUGCUCCGGCGUGACAUACUUUUCAAUAUUAAGUUACAAAUCGAUUACAGCGAAGAAUUUUAACAGGCUUUCUUCACUGACUUCUUCAAAUUUUACGAGACUUUCAUUUCUAUAAAGUCUAACUUUAUGCUUUAAAAUCGAUAGACAGGGCGCGAGUUAAGUGGUAUCAAAUAUUUCGCGUCAAUUUUUAAUCUCACCAAUAUUGAGGCUGGGAGCUGAACACUUGGGAGAAAACAAGCUGAAAUAACCACUUUCCCUCAAACGCUCAAACGGCUGGAAAAGUGUGUUUUCACUUGAAACUGACAGUCUUUAUCAAACCACCAAUGGCGAAGUAACUAAUAAAUUAUGCAGCAGAAUGUGACCAUUCUGACCAAAUUAAAAGGAUAUCGAGAAAGAAUGGAACCAAAAAUGACCAAAGACUGCCCGUCUGGAAGUUGAUUUUAUUUCGGAGAACUCGGGUGGAAUUCCCGGAUAAACUAUUCAUGUUAUUUCGACAUAAAGAUUAUAUUACAAGUUCUACUGCGGGUAUACUUCAAAACAAAAGCCAUACGAAGAUUUCAUCGGAAACUUUGGGAGCUCUCAUUUUGCUGCGGAUUAUCAAGAUAGACAAUUUUCAUCUCGAGUACGCGUUGUGAAAUCAUCGAGUUAAGAAAUCAUUUUGGAAAGUGGAUUAAAAACUCUCUAUUUUCUUCUUGCGCUUACGGACUCCCAUUAAUGAAGUUUAUGACAAGAAGUUAUUAUUUUAUGGGCAAAUCUCUUCCUGAAGAGGGCUUUGCAUCUCGUUAACUUCAUAUUCACGUGGAGUUACAAUUUUGAAACAGCAGUCAGUUAUAUUUCUACUUUUACAUUUCUCUAUUUUUCUAUUACCUAAUGCAAUUCCCUUCAUUUUUCCAUUCAUCCAUGAAUGUUUAUUGAAGUCGUCGAAUAUCUCUAGAGCUUUCACUCAGCGAAAUUGGACCGAAAAAAGAAGCGCCAAUUUAUCAAUCUCAACUCAAUACUAUUUGCAGGGGUAGAUAAAAAACAGCGGGCAAAUCUCUAGGCGAAGUUGCCUUCAAAAAACCCUACCGGUGCAUAUUGAAAAGAAGACGUGCCCUGUACAAAAAAUUUUAAAUCGAGGAGUUAUUAAUAUUUAAAACUCCAUAGAAAAAAAAAUAAAGCUUCGUUUUUUCUCGCAAUUCUAUUAGGUUAUUUGACGGAAUAAAAAAUAUACCAUCCUGUUAUAAACAGUUUAUAACCAAUACCAUAUUUAUUUGUGCUGAUUAGGCUGCCGCCUGAGACUAUUAUCUUUAUCAAUUGAGGUCAGUGUCGCGUUUAUUUUCAAUAUAAUCUUACUUUUUAUCGUUCAGUUCCAGCCCAACGCCUCAUUUCCAAGUUAGACCCGUUGGUACCAGUGAGUAUAGCGUGGGUUUUUCCCAUAUCGCUAUCUUGAUCCAGCCACUUCAGUAUUUUCUAGCCCAGAAAAAUAAACGUCUGUAUAACAUAACAUUCGCUGAAAUAAAGCACCAUCUAAAGGUAUAUAUGUACACCACUACACUACACCUUGAAAAAAAAUACCAAUUGAAAUAUUGAUUGUAUUUAGAGUUGGUGGAAAAGUGAGAUAUUAACUUCGUUUAAUUUGCUGAUAGAUAAAACAAUUAUACCAAUACACUGCGCUGUACGAUACUCUUUACGUACUGAUAUUGGUCAUUCCUUCUUAAAAAAAUAGACAUUUGAAAAAAUUGCGUAUCGGAAAGUUUUGAUCUCGUUUUUUUUUAAUCGGAUGUCAUAUUGCUAUAAAUUACUGUUCAUAAAAGUACCAAUUAGCUCAAAUAACAGGUACAGAAAUGUACACAAGACGUUAAUCUUGUUAUCAAGUCAACUUUAUGGCUGGUUUAUGUUCGAUCAAAUCCCAGGCAGCCAUCUGAGCCUUAGGAUUUAAAGGGACGAAAAGAACGAUUUGAUUAUUUUACAUCAUCUAAUCCCGCUUAUUGGUGCUGCUCCCUCUUUUCCUGCCAUUUUCCAGUUUCGACCUCACAUUACACGAUGACACUUGUCAGCCUAUUCGUCGCUGUUAUGACAUGGUGGACGAUAGCGACAGGACAAUUCGACCCUCAGCCACUGGAGAGGACGUACAUCCUGUCUGGUCCUCAGAGGUGGGAGGGGUCAGUGAACAAGCCAGUGUCCCUUAACUGCGAGGCCUUCAUUCCCAGGAAUAACAUCAUUCAGGGGGGCGUGCAGGUGCAGGAGAUGCGCUGGAUGUACAAGGCCUCUGGCGCUCAGAAGUUCCAAGAGGUGCAACAGUCUGCAAGUCGCACCAACAAGGUCACCAUCUUCACUACCAACUACAACGACAAAGCCCAGACCAAAUCAUCCCGACUGGAGUUCGAACGGGUGCAGGGGGGCAAUGCGGGCGAGUACAAGUGCACGGUGGGGGGAGGAGUGACUUAUGGGGGAGCAGAGAGCGAGAUUGCACUCGUUCGAAUCAUCCCGGACAUGAUGAUCUAUCCAAGUGUGGUAAACAUGGAGCUGAACAAACCCUUUUCGAUCACGUGUAACCUGUCAAUCAACCCCGCCCAACUAUACGACACACCUGGUCUGGGUCUGAACCAGAAUGGACAGAAUGUUCUGAGACCAGUAGUGAAGUGGACUGUGUCGACCCAAUUGGGGGUGGAUCCGGAUGAUGUGAACAGAAUGCAGGCACUGUACGAGGACUAUGCCAGAGACCCGCAGACACUCACCAACCUCAACAUUAUAGUGUCGCGCGAUGGUCAGACACUGCACGUGGCCAAUGCGACCACAGAUCACGCCGGCUACUACUGGUGCACUUUCCAGAGCUACUCCAAGUCAUUCACUGGACACAUCAAGCAGAGAUCCAUAGUCAGGUACGGACCUCGGUUCCAGGAGGCCAAACUGCGCCACUUCAACACCACCCGCACCCUCAAGUCCUUCUUGGGGGAGACAGUGGACAUCUACUGCAACAUCAUCUCCCUCCCAUUCGGGGUGGUGCAAUGGUACCGCAAGGGAAACAUCCCACUCCAGCACAGCCAGCAAAGAUACCCCCUCCACCCUCACAAAAGCGACAGGUACUACUACUUCCAACUGGACAAGUACCGCAACCCUACAAUCCUCAGACUGAACCGGGUGCUGUAUGACGACAGGGAUGAGUACACGUGCAACGUCACUGCAGGCGGCAUCCGACUCUCCUGGUCCACACUUCUCAAAGUCAAAGACAAAUACUCAGCCUUCUACCCUCUGGGAGUCAUUCUAGCCCAAAUAGGACUCAUUUUCGGACUCAUUUUUGGAGCUGAGCGAGUCUACAAUCCCAAAGGUCACUCACACUCCCACCAUCAUCACAAUCACUCCAACGCGCACAGCCACCACAGUCACACUCACACCCAUACUACCCACAACGACCCCCUAGGCAGACCCCUGGGCAGUUACGGGGGCGGGGUUCUGAAGAAUCACGGGGGUGGGGCUGGGAGCUUACCUCGCGGGAUCCCCUCAGGAGCUUACGAGAAUUACCAGGGGAACAUUAGUCAACACGGGGGGACGAUGCCAAAUGUGUAUCUAGAUUCAUCAAAUCAGCAACGCAUGAACAGUAGUAUGAACAUAAUAAACAACAACAACGUGAACAACUACGGCGGCAAUUCCCUGAGCAGAAUACCUUCAAUGCCGCCUAUAUCUCUUCUACAGUAAGUGUAGUAUGAGUGAUGUAUCCCCAAAUGGGAGGAGUCCACAGUCCACUAAUUUGCUGUUCGCGUCAAAGGGUAAAAUUUGAGACAUCAAUUGGGAAGACACUGACACAAACCCAAAUGAACAGUGACAAGAAACCUUGGAAAAACUGCAAUGCUUGAUUUUAUACAUAAUUCCGAUUCAUGGUUUUAAUUUAAUAUUUAUUUAUAUGCUACGGAUAAUGAUUAACCUUGGUGUUAUCAAACUUUUCGAUACAA